rnacentral:rRNA from 1 species
GACGAACGCUGGCGGCGUGCCUAAUACAUGCAAGUCGAACGCAGUGGGUACGGGUGAGUAACACGUGGGUAACCUCCCAUCAGAGGGGAUAACACUUGGAAACAGGUGCUAAACCGAUACUGAUGGAUGGCACCGCGAUGCAUUGGCUAGUUGGGGAGGUAACGGCUCACCAAGGCCACGAUGCAUAGCCGACCUGAGAGGGUGAUCGGCCAAACUGGGACUGAGAAACGGCCCAGACUCCGACGGGAGGCAGCAGUAGGGAAGCUUCGGAAAUGGACGAAAGUCUGACCGAGCAACGCCGCGUGAGUGAAGAAGGUUUUCGGAUCGUAAAACUCUGUUGUUAGAGAAGCGGUAUCUAACCAGAAAGCCACGGCUAACUACGUGCCAGCAGCCGCGGUAAUAC